AGUACGCGUAAAAGGGCCAAUAUCCUACUCUGUAGCGUGAGGUGGGAUUGUCAGCUUAAUAGGGCCAGCAUCCUACUUUGUGGCUGAAGGUUAGAUCGGAUCGAGUGUUUAAAGUGGUGUGAGGUUGGUUGGGCCGAGCCAUAAUCGAAGUGACGUGAGUCUUGUUGGGCCAAAUCACAAUCGAGACCUGUAGUCGCUGUAUCUGUACGCUUUAAGGGGCCGUUUGGUUGGAUGUAGUUACAGAAACAAUGUAGUUGGAAAUACAUGCAGUUGCAAAUGCUGCAGUUGUAACUACACCUAGUCUGUUUGGUUUUACGCAGUUGCAACUGCUGCAGUUACAUUUCUUCUGUUUGGUAAUAUGAAGCUGAUAGUUGUAUUUAUGAAUUUUGUCACCUUUUCAGAUAGAGUGGUGAGGUUACCUUCACUAAACAAAAAAUAAUUGUAUAAAUUUAUUAAUUAUUUAAAUUUACUAUUUAUAAAUAAAUAAGUAGAUAUAUAUAAUAUUUUUAUAUUUUUCAAUAAUUCUUCAACUUAUUAAUCGACACAUUUAAAAUUUUUAAUUUAUUUAAUUUUAAUAUGUAAAUCAAACUUUAAAAAUUUAAACGAUUCUCUCAUUUUUUUUAUCAAAUUUAAUAAUUAUAAUUAAUUAAAACUUAUUAAAUUAACAUACACGAUCACAUUCUAUAAAAAUUUAAAAAAAAAAAACUAUAUUUAUAUUUUAAAUAAAAUAAAUUUAAAAAAUUUAAUUUUUUGCACAAAGCUUGUAUUGUCUAAAAAAUUUUAUUAGUAUGAGUUUAUUUACAAGUAUUUUUAUUUACCUAUAUACAUAUAUUAUUUAUUUAUUUAGCUAUUUAUUUAUUUAUUUAUUAUUGUUAAUUUGUGGGUGAUCCUAUCCCUCACCAACUGCUGCAGUUGGAACUACGACCAAUUUGGAUGUAGUUCCAACUGCAGCAUUUGGGCCUUCUUGUGCAGUUGGAACUGCAGCAGUUGAACUCAACUACACUAAACCAAACAAAGAAAUUGUGGCUGCAAAUGCGUACAACCAAACAGCCCCUAAGUGAAUUAGUUGUGUAUUUCUUAUCGAAUCAUUGGUGCCACAACUAAUUCACUUAAAGCGUAUAGAUACAGCGCGCCCACGGGUCUCGAUUGUGACUCGGCCCAACCAGCCCAUGCCACUUCGAACAUGACUCGACCCAACCCAGCUUAACGCCAUUUUGAACAUGACUCGGCCCACAUGGCCUCUCGCCACAGGGUAGGAUGCUGGCCCAUUUAAGCCAACAAUCUCCACUCAUCUGCACACAUUAGUAGAAUGCACACAUUAGUAGCAUGCGGGAAUCGAAUCCAUGACCUCUGGCUCUGAUAUCACUUGUCGGAUCGUUGGCGCUAACCAUUAAUCCCAAAAGCUCAAAUUGUUAGAAAUACGCAACAAAUUUACUUAAAGCAUACAAAUACAACGCCCACGAGUCUCGAUUGUGACUCGGCCCAACCAGCCUCACGCCACUUCGAACAUGACUCAGCCCAACCCAGCUUCACGCCACUUCGAACAUGACUCAGCCCAACCCAACCUCACGCUAUUUCGAAGAUAACUCGGCCCACAUGGCUUCUCGCCACAUGGCAGAAUGCUAGCCCAUUUAAGCCAACAUUUCUAACAACUCGAGUAUUGGGAUUAAUAAUUUCUAACAACUCGAGUAUUGGGAUUAAUACUUAGCGCUAACGAUCCGACAAGUAGUUUCAGAAACAGAGGUCACAAAUUUGAUUCUUGUAUACUGCGAAUUUUAGUUUGAUUGUGCAGAAGAAACCUAAAUUAAUUUACGAAAGG
rnacentral:lncRNA from 1 species